GCCUGGGUGGCUCAACCGGUUGAGCUUCCGACUUCAGCUCAGGUCAUGAUCUCGCGCUUUGUGAAUUCGAGUCCCGCCUCAGGCU
rnacentral:tRNA from 1 species